rnacentral:rRNA from 1 species
UACGAAGGGGGCUAGCGUUGCUCGGAAUUACUGGGCGUAAAGCGCACGUAGGCGGCUUCUUAAGUCGGUGGUGAAAUCCUGGAGCUCAACUCCAGAACUGCCUUCGAUACUGGGAAGCUCGAGUCCGGGAGAGGUGAGUGGAACUGCGAGUGUAGAGGUGAAAUUCGUAGAUAUUCGCAAGAACACCAGUGGCGAAGGCGGCUCACUGGCCCGGUACUGACGCUGAGGUGCGAAAGCGUGGGGAGCGAACAGG